GAUGAACGCUGGCGGCGUGCCUAAUACAUGCAAGUCGAGCGAACAGACGAGGAGCUUGCUCCUCUGACGUUAGCGGCGGACGGGUGAGUAACACGUGGAUAACCUACCUAUAAGACUGGGAUAACUUCGGGAAACCGGAUCUAAUAGCGGAUAAUCUAUUGAACCGCAUGGUGCAAUAGUGAAAUACGGUUUUUCUGUCACUUAUAGAGAGAUACGCGCCGCAUUAGCUAGUUGGUAAGGUAACGGCUUACCAAGGCGACGAUGCGUAGCCGAACUGAUAGGGGGAUCGGCCACACUGGAACUGAGACACGGUCCAGACGCCUGCGAGAGGCAGCAGUCUGGAAUCUUCCGCAAUGGUCGAAAGCCUUACGGAGCAACGCCGCGUGAGUGAUGAAGGUCUUCGGAUCGUAAAACUCUGUUAUUAGGGAAGAACAAAUGUGUAAGUAACUAUGCACGUCUUGACGGUAACUAAUAAGAAAGCCACGGCUAACUACGUG
rnacentral:rRNA from 1 species